rnacentral:lncRNA from 1 species
CUUCGUGUUCCUUGGGAUACAGGGUGUGGGCAGCUGUGAGGAUCCAGCGGUCGCCCAGCAGGGCCCCGCCCCCGCGCCCGUGGAUGUUGGUGAACACCUGCCAGGGGAAGUUGCCCAUCUUGGCUUUUUGCCCUCCGAUGAUGCGCUGCCUCUGUUCCACGGGGUUCACGGGCUUCCCACACACUGGCAAGCACCGAGGAAUCUUCUCUCCCUUCUGUUCAUUCUUCCAAAUGCCCUGUGCUGUGCAGGUGUACACCCCUUGCUCAGACUCCCUGCUGCCAGCUCUGGUCUGCAUCUUGUAAUAUGGCUCAUGGCAGUAGUACUGGAUACGGGCCUUGUAGGUGUUCACUCCCAUUGUGGUGGUGUAACGGAAGUCACCAUUAGGCAGGUUUCGGGGCUGCCCACAGUCCUUGAUCUUGCAUCUGGGCAUGGCACGAUGCCACGUGCCAUCAUCCUGGCAGACAGCUGUGAAGGAAUGCAGCACCUGGUUCCCCUCUAUGAGCUGGUAGCCUUGCUUGCAGGUAGCAAUGAAGUAGUCACGGAACUGGUACUGAGGCUGCAGGUUCU